CAGGCAUCAUCAGAAUCGUAAACGUCGGGCAUCAUCAUCGUGGAGGUGGCCUUCCUAGACACAUUUGAAAAUUUUACACGUUGUCUCUAUAUAAUAUAUCCUUGCUAUAUAUCGGAAAUGAUAAUUCUCGAAGUCCCUUUCCGUCAAAAGUUUUCGGACCCCGUCGACAAAUUUAGGCACUUAGAGAUUAGUAUUAUUGAGGUGAUUCCUCAAUCGGUUUAGAGCCUGGCUAACUGCUUUGUUUCGAUAAAUUAAGGAGCGAUGGCGGUAUAUAACCUGUUAUUCAGAACUGUGUCUCAGGCAAACGUCAGUGCGAGUUGUGAAUAGUAUAAGAGGAGCCAUUACACCGUAUAGGAUGCAAACGAACGGCAUGUUAGGGAAAAUGCAACAGCGGAUCACGGCGGCAUACGCCGACGAUAUAUGAGAAACAAGGGAGGACCCAUCCAGAACAAAUAAAUAUGGCCGGAAAGGCGUAGGUCGUGGUGGGAUUUCGAAGAACGAUUGGAGGAAUGAAUGGUAUGAUCCAAGGAAAGUUGAUCCGAGAACUUUCAAGAUGAUGCGGACACAGCUGACGUAAAAAAAGGACAGAACAGGAAGAUUCAAGAAGCUAAAGGCCAAAACGUGAAAGGCACGGGAGAUCGUACCUUUGUCGAAACGUGCUAUUUCGGGGCGACGAAGAUACGGAGACUGAGAUAAAAUGAGUCGAUCUCGGGAUCAAGACAGAGGCGGAAAGUCAAGCGUCAAGAAGCAACGCAUCAGCUAAGCGGUUCACAGACUCGCAUGACGAUGCGACGAGGCUUUCCUUCUCCGGCCGAAUAGUGCGUUCACGGAGCUUGUGCAGGAUCUGUGGGGUGGCUGCGAAGGGAGUAGACAGUUCAGACGUGGAGACAGAUAAGAUAGACGCCUAUGUAGGGCUAGGAGGGUUGGCGAGGAAAGAGAUGGAACGGGAGGUGGAGAGGAUCGGGGCAACCGGGAAGACAGGAAGACAGGAAGGAGAUUGAGUUCCCAAGGGAUAGACGAAGACGUGUAAUGCGAAGGGAACUCGGGGCGCUGUUGUUGAGUGUGUGGGUGUUCGUAUACUGUUCCUCCGCGGUCGAGGGCGCCGCAAGAACUUCGUUGUCGCUAGCGGGCGCACUCUAAUGCAGAGCCUCACCUGUCGGCUGACAGCACCCGCUUUAUUUUAAGUUGAGAGUCAUGAUCAGGGAUAGUGACUGAUUCAAGAGGGCAG
rnacentral:sRNA from 2 species